GUGUCAUAGGGUGGUGGUCGUGCUGUGGUUUCGAGCCUACUAGAAACACAUGUGAAACUUCGGGACAUCGCGUUGAGGAGGUGGGUGUUGUCAUUUGGACUGACUCAUUGUAUUAAGAAACUUGUAUUUUUGGUUUGAUGUUGUGUACAACUUUUUAAACUUUGAAUAAAAAUUUGAAAUGCC